rnacentral:tRNA from 1 species
GUGAAAUUAGUUUAAAUAAAAUGACAAAUUGUGGAUUUGUAGAUAAAUAUUGGUUUAUUUCACU